rnacentral:rRNA from 1 species
GACAGAGGGUGCAAACGUUGUCCGGAAUUAUUGGGCGUAAAGAGCUCGUAGGCGGUGUGUCGCGUCGGCCGUGAAAACCUGCAGCUUAACUGUGGGCUUGCGGUCGAUACGGGCAUCACUGGAGUUCGGCAGGGGAGACUGGAAUUCCUGGUGUAGCGGUGAAAUGCGCAGAUAUCAGGAGGAACACCGGUGGCGAAGGCGGGUCUCUGGGCCGAUACUGACGCUGAGGAGCGAAAGCGUGGGGAGCGAACAGG